rnacentral:rRNA from 1 species
CAGCACCUCAAGUGGUCAGGAUGAUUAUUGGGCCUAAAGCAUCCGUAGCCGGCGCUGUAAGUUUUCGGUUAAAUCUGUACGCUCAACGUACAGGCUGCCGGGAAUACUGCAGCGCUAGGGAGUGGGAGAGGUAGACGGUACUCGGUAGGAAGGGGUAAAAUCCCUUGAUCUAUUGAUGACCACCUGUGGCGAAGGCGGUCUACCAGAACACGUCCGACGGUGAGGGAUGAAAGCUGGGGGAGCAAACCGGAUUAGAUACCCGCGUAGUCC